AGAGUUUGAUCCUGGCUCAGGACGAACGCUGGCGGCGCGCCUAACACAUGCAAGUCGAGGGAGAACCACAUCUUCGGAUGUGGGGAGACCGGCGAACGGGUGAGUAACACGUGAGGAACCUGCCUUGGAGACCGGAAUAACCACGGGAAACUGUGGCUAAUGCCGGAUACCCUGAUCAACUCGCAUGAGCUGAUCAGGAAAUGGUCCGCCGCUCCAAGAUGGUCUCGCGGCCUAUCAUGCUAGUUGGUGAGGUAACGGCUCACCAAGGCGACGACGGGUAGCUGGCGUGAGAGCGCGAUCAGCCACACUGGGACUGAGACACGGCCCAGACUCCUACGGGAGGCAGCAGUGGGGAAUCUUGCUCAAUGGGCGAAAGCCUGAAGCAGCGACGCCGCGUGUGGGAAGAAGGUCUUCGGAUUGUAAACCACUUUCAGGAGGGAAGAAGCGAAAGUGACGGUACCUCCAGAAGAAGGCCCGGCCAACUACGUGCCAGCAGCCGCGGUAAUACGUAGGGGCCAAGCGUUGUCCGGAAUUAUUGGGCGUAAAGAGCUCGUAGGCGGCCCAACGAGUCGGAUGUGAAAUCUCAAGGCUCAACCUUGAAAUUGCAUCCGAUACUGCUGGGCUUGAGGCAGGUAGGGGAAAGCGGAAUUCCUGGUGUAGCGGUGAAAUGCGCAGAUAUCAGGAGGAACACCGGUGGCGAAGGCGGCUUUCUGGGCCUGUACUGACGCUGAGGAGCGAAAGCGUGGGGAGCAAACAGGAUUAGAUACCCCGGUAGUCC
rnacentral:rRNA from 1 species